rnacentral:rRNA from 1 species
GUCGAAUGCUGGCGGCGUGUCUAAGGCAUGCAAGUCGAACGAUCCCUUCGGGGAUAGUGGCAAACGGGAGAGUAACACAUUGGUAACUUACCCUGAACUCGCGAACAACCCAUGGAAACGUGGGCUAAUACGCGAUAUCGAUGGGGGGACGCAAGUCAUUCCCAUUGAAAGUUCCGACGGUUCAGGAGAGGCCUAUGUCCUAUCAGCUAGUUGGUGAGGUAAAAGCUCACCAAGGCUACGACGGGUACCGGGCGUGAGAGCGUGACCCGGCUCACUGGGACUGAGACACUGCCCAGACUCCUACGGGAGGCUGCAGUCGAGAAUCUUCCGCAAUGCACGAAAGUGUGACGGAGCGACGCCGCGUGUCGGAUGAAGGCC